rnacentral:rRNA from 1 species
AUUGAACGCUGGCGGCAGGCCUAACACAUGCAAGUCGAACGAGUGGCGGACGGGUGAGUAAUGUCUGGGAAACUGCCUGAUGGAGGGGGAUAACUACUGGAAACGGUAGCUAAUACCGCAUACCAUCGGAUGUGCCCAGAUGGGAUUAGCUAGUAGGUGGGGUAAAGGCUCACCUAGGCGACGAUCCCUAGCUGGUCUGAGAGGAUGACCAGCCCAACCGGAACUGGGACAAGGUCCAGACUCCCACGGGAGGGCACAGGGGGGAAAUAUGGCAAAAGGGCGCAAGCCUGAUGCAGCCAUGCCGCGUGUAUGAAGAAGGCCUUCGGGUUGUAAAGUACUUUCAGCGGGGAGGCGUUACCCGCAGAAGAAGCACCGGCUAACUCCGUGCCAGCCGCCGCGGUAAUUC